rnacentral:rRNA from 1 species
GAUCAUGGCUCAGGAUGAACGCUAGCUACAGGCUUAACACAUGCAAGUCGAGGGGCAGCAUGAACUUAGCUUGCUAAGUUUGAUGGCGACCGGCGCACGGGUGAGUAACACGUAUCCAACCUGCCGAUGACUCGGGGAUAGCCUUUCGAAAGAAAGAUUAAUACCCGAUGGCAUAGUUCUUCCGCAUGGUAGAACUAUUAAAGGAUUUCGGCCAUCGAUGGGGAUGCGUUCCAUUAGG